rnacentral:rRNA from 1 species
UACGUAGGGUGCGAGCGUUGUCCGGAAUUAUUGGGCGUAAAGAGCUUGUAGGCGGUCUGUCGCGUCUGCUGUGAAAAUCCGGGGCUCAACCCCGGACUUGCAGUGGGUACGGGCAGACUAGAGUGUGGUAGGGGAGACUGGAAUUCCUGGUGUAGCGGUGAAAUGCGUAGAUAUCGAGAGGGAACACCUGCGGCGAAGGCGGGUUGCUGGGCUGAUACUGACGCUGAGGCGCGAAAGCCAGGGGAG